AGUGGAGUUGCUGGGUCAUAUGGUAGCCCUAUGUUUAACUUUUUGAAGAACUGUCAGACUGUUUCUCAAAGUAACAGCACCAUUUUACAUUCUCACCAGCAAU
rnacentral:pre_miRNA from 1 species